rnacentral:lncRNA from 10 species
CCCGGUCCCGCCCCCGCCCCUGGCCUGGAGCGCGGCCCCGGCGUCCCGGAUGCCCGAGGCCUGCUGGUCCCGGCCAGAGCCGUCCCCGUCCCGCGCCGCCGCUCAAGCUCAGAGAAGGGGCGUGGGGCCACCCCGGGAGCGGCGCAGCCUUUUCCCUACGCGUUGGAGCCCUGGGCUCUGCUCGGCUCCGCUAGUGGUGCCGGAUCCAGGCGACAGCGCGACAGACACCAUUGCCACGUGGGUGCAGCCUCAGGACGUCCUGAAAGCCGGAGAGAAUCAGCAAUGCAAAUGGACCAAGAUGGGGGCAGCGCACGAGUCAACCAUAACCAUGGCAAGCCCGCCCAUGUGGCCUGAGAAUCUGGGUGAGGAGAACGGGGGCGAUGGAAAGGACUGCCCUCCAGCACCCAGGUCAGGAGUCUGCACUUGAUCUUGUGCAAGGAAGGAGGUGGCCAUUGAGAGAACUGACCCAGUGUGGAGGACCAAGCGAGGAAACCCCAGAGCCAGAGACCAAUUCGACAAAAGGGGUGCUGAGGCUACACACCCAGGCAGUGUCACAUGGAAGUGGGGGACAAAGAGGAAUGAACAUUUGGAGUUGGGAGCCCCAAAACCUGGAGAAUGACUGGAUUCCAGGUUAGGGAAGUGAAGGGUGGAAGAUCUCAGAGGGUUCUUACUCAUGUGGCCUGCCUUGGAUGUCACUAACCAGCAGGGAAGACACAGAAACAUCGAGCAUGUGGUUAGUUUUUUGUUUGUUUGUUUGAGAUGGAGUUUCAUUCUUGUCGCCCAGGCUGGAGUGCAAUGGCAAGACCUCAGCUCACUGCAACCUCCGCCUCCUGGGUUCAGGUGAUUCUCCUGCCUCAGCCUCCCAAGUAGCUGGGAUUACAGAUGCCCACCACCAAACCCAGCUAAUUUUUGUAAUUUUAGUAGAGACAGGGUUUCACCAUGUUGGCCAGGCUGGUCUCAAACUCCUGACCUCAGGUGAUCCACCCGCCUCAGCCUCCCAAAAUGCUGGGAGUAUAGGUGUGAGCCACUGUGCCUGGCCGAGAUGUGGUUAUUGACAUCUCAGUGGGAUUGUGACAUAGCAGGGCUGAACAGAGAUCCGGGUACUCUCUGUAUCCUGGGGUGAGACUGUCAUCUAGGGCAGGGGUCUCUGGCCUCUUUGAGAAUCUGGUGCAUGGGACAGACCCUCUAGUCUGGAGAAGCACACACAAUGUCACAUGUGUGACACGUGACAUGCAACAUCAUUCUCAAACAAUAGCCUGCUUUGGAAGGCCCCCCUGACACCCCUACUGCCCUUGGCACCCCACGGACCCCCAGUGAAGAGCCUCUAACCAGGAGAGAGCAAGGGGAGAAGAAACACCAACUGGGAGAGAAAAUGGACAAGAGCCAUCCUCAUGGGGGAUGUGAAUGGGCAAAAGCCGAGGUCCAGAGGCUGAAGACACAGAGAUGCAUCUGUGGGGGGUCUGGUGAGUGCCCAGGAAAUAAUGGAUUUUUGAAGCUUUCGUCAGUGGUUCCGGCUUGCCAGUGAACACACAGAAUUUACAAUUUUCAUUUGGUUAUUGCUAAUUUGAACAUGGCAGAGACAGUUUGAAUAUGCCAUUACAGUGUGAAAGAACAGUGGCCCCACAUUUCAAGCAGAACUAGUGACAACCAAGUGGUGCUUAAUUGUAAGAGGAACUGUCUUGGGCUUUGCGUUACUGGAGGGUUCCUGGCAUUUUAUAGACCUAAUUUGUAUACAGAUGGAAUCCUAUGUUAAAUGCAAGCGUGGUACUCGCUACUAAGAAAUCCCAUGUAAAUAGGGCCUUCUUGGUAAAGUUUAUCAUCGUUCACCUUUUGUAUUCUCAGACCCAAAGCACUGCAUUCAUUCACUCAAUUUUCCUUGCACCUCUUUGUCUAGAGACUAAGAUGAUUUAUUUCUUAUUUAACACUAUGAAAAACUAAUUUAUGGUUAGGGUGGAUUACCUCUCACAUCUCAAAUGGGGAAGGUGGCCAGGCACGGUGGCUCACACUUGUAAUCCCAGCACUUUGGGAGGCUGAG